rnacentral:tRNA from 1 species
GAAAGUUUAGUAUAUAUUGUUAGUAUGUUUCUUUGUCAAUGGAACGGAGUAAGCUUUGU